GAUGAACGCUGGCGGCGUGCCUAAUACAUGCAAGUCGAACGCUGAAGGAGGAGCUUGCUCUUCUGGAUGAGUUGCGAACGGGUGAGUAACGCGUAGGUAACCUGCCUGGUAGCGGGGGAUAACUAUUGGAAACGAUAGCUAAUACCGCAUGACAACAGUUAUUGCAUGAUAACUGUUUAAAAGGGGCAACUGCUCCACUACCAGAUGGACCUGCGUUGUAUUAGCUAGUUGGUGAGGUAACGGCUCACCAAGGCGACGAUACAUAGCCGACCUGAGAGGGUGAUCGGCCACACUGGGACUGAGACACGGCCCAGACUCCUACGGGAGGCAGCAGUAGGGAAUCUUCGGCAAUGGACGGAAGUCUGACCGAGCAACGCCGCGUGAGUGAAGAAGGGUUUCGGAUCGUAAAGCUCUGUUGUAAGAGAAGAACGAGUGUGAGAGUGGAAAGUUCACACUGUGACGGUAGCUUACCAGAAAGGGACGGCUAACUACGUG
rnacentral:rRNA from 1 species